CGUAGGGUGCGAGCGUUAAUCGGAAUUACUGGGCGUAAAGCGUGCACAGGCGGUUUUGUAAGACAGGCGUGAAAUCCCCGGGCUCAACCUGGGAACUGCGCUUGUGACUGCAAGGCUAGAGUACGGCAGAGGGGGUGGAAUUCCACGUGUAGCAGUGAAAUGCGUAGAGAUGUGGAGGAACACCAAUGGCGAAGGCAGCCCCCUGGGUCGAUACUGACGCUCAUGCACGAAAGCGUGGGUAGCAAACAGGAUUAGAUACCCUGGUAGUCCACGCCCUAAACGAUGUCAACUAGGUGUUGGGUGGGUAAAACCAUUUAGUACCGGAGCUAACGCGUGAAGUUGACCGCCUGGGGAGUACGGCCGCAAGGUUA
rnacentral:rRNA from 1 species